CUUAACACAUGCAAGUCGAACGGAAAGGCCCUGGCUUUUGUGGGGUGCUCGAGUGGCGAACGGGUGAGUAACACGUGAGUAACCUGCCCUUGACUUUGGGAUAACUUCAGGAAACUGGGGCUAAUACCGGAUAGGAGCUCCUGCUGCAUGGUGGGGGUUGAAAGUUUCGGCGGUUGGGGAUGGACUCGCGGCUUAUCAGCUUGUUGGUGGGGUUAAGGCCUACCAAGGCGACGACGGGGUAGCCGGCCUGAGAGGGUGUCCCGGCCACACUGGGACUGAGAUACGGCCCAGACUCC
rnacentral:rRNA from 1 species